rnacentral:rRNA from 1 species
AUUGAACGCUGGCGGCGUGCUUAACACAUGCAAGUCGAACGAAGUGGCGCACGGGUGAGUAACGCGUAAUCAACCUGCCCUUCAGAGGGGGACAACAGUUGGAAACGACUGCUAAUACCACAUACUGAAGGAGGGGAUUGCGUCGGAUUAGCUAGUUGGAGGGGUAACGGCCAGCCCAGGCGAGGAUCAGUAGCCGGUCGUAGAGGAUGGACGGCCACAUUGGGACUGAGACACGGCCCAGACUCCUACGGGAGGCAGCAGUGGGGAAUCUUCCGCAAUGGACGAAAGUCUGACGGAGCAACGCCGCGUGAGUGAUGACGGCCUUCGGGGUGUAAAGCUCUGUUAAUCGGGACGCGGUACCGGAAUAGAAAGCCACGGCUAACUACGUGCCAGCAACCGCGGUAAUAC